rnacentral:tRNA from 1 species
AGGGUUGUAUUUAAUUAUAAUAUCUGAUUUGCAUUCAGAAAGUGCUAUUAUAUAGCCUUCCUUA